rnacentral:lncRNA from 1 species
CACUGUAUCAAGUCCUAGACCAGCCAACGAAAGCUGCGUUGAACCUAUCCUGCAGCAGAAACACUGGUGAAGAAGCCUGGAGAAACAGAGGCCUGCAGUACCCAGUAACUAACCAGGCUGCACGAAUGGAGCAUGAGAACACCCUACAGCCUGUUAUUUGCUGCAUGUUUCUACGGGCACCAGCAAAGCACAACUUCUAGUAAUGGGAUCAGUAACCCAAGUGACGGAACUGAAAAGGCAAGUCUGAAUUUAUCUCCAUCUGUCAU